CGAGCAGGCAGGAUGGCUGCUCCGUUACAUCUGUAGCGGAGAGGAAAGUCCGGGCUCCAGAGGGCAGGCGUGCUGGGUAACUCCCAGGAUCCCGAGAAAUCGGGAUACGGAAAGUGCCACAGAAAAAAUACCGCCCUGAAUGUAGAAUUUUUAAUAAAUUUUUUGCAUUCAGGGUAAGGGUGAAAAGGCGGUGUAAAAGACCACCGCCCCGACGGUGACGUCGGGGGCAGGGUAAACCCCACGCGGAGCAAGACCGAAUAGGAGAGGAGCGGUGGCCCGUCGCGUAAAUACUCUCGGGUAGGUCGCUGGUCUCCGGUGGCAACAUCGGAGCAAGAGAAAUGGCUAUCGAAACACGAAUUGCCACGAAUUAUUAUAAAAUUCGCGGCAAUUUGGUUUUGAUUUGUGGUAAUUCGUGUUUUACAGAACCCGGCUUAUAUGCCUGCUCUUAAA
rnacentral:RNase_P_RNA from 1 species